CCCGCACAAGCGGUGGAGCAUGUGGUUUAAUUCGACGCAACGCGAAGAACCUUACCUACCCUUGACAUGUCCGGAAUCCCGAAGAGAUUUGGGAGUGCUCGCAAGAGAACCGGAACACAGGUGCUGCAUGGCUGUCGUCAGCUCGUGUCGUGAGAUGUUGGGUUAAGUCCCGCAACGAGCGCAACCCUUGUCAUUAGUUGCCAUCAUUUGGUUGGGCACUCUAAUGAGACUGCCGGUGACAAACCGGAGGAAGGUGGGGAUGACGUCAAGUCCUCAUGGCCCUUAUGGGUAGGGCUUCACACGUCAUGCAAUGGUCGGUACAGAGGGUUGCCAACCCGCGAGGGGGAGCUAAUCCCACAAAGCCGAUCGUAGUCCGGAUCGCAGUCUGCAACUCGACUGCGUGAGGUCGGAAUCGCUAGUAAUCGUGGAUCAGCAUGUCACGGUGAAUACGUUCCCGGGUCUU
rnacentral:rRNA from 1 species